rnacentral:rRNA from 1 species
AGGACGAACGCUGGCGGCGUGCUUAACACAUGCAAGUCGAACGGUGAAGGAGAGCUUGCUCUCCGGAUCAGUGGCGAACGGGUGAGUAACACGUGAGCAACCUACCCUUGACUCUGGGAUAACAGUUGGAAACAGCUGCUAAUACCGGAUACGACCCCAGCAGGCAUCUGCCGGGGUGGAAAGCUCCGACGGUCAAGGAUGGGCUCGCGGCCUAUCAGCUAGUUGGUGAGGUAACGGCUCACCAAGGCGUCGACGGGUA